UACGGAGGGUGCAAACGUUGCUCGGAAUCAUUGGGCGUAAAGCGCACGUAGGCGGCCCGGCAAGUCGGGUGUGAAAGCCCUCGGCUUAACCGAGGAAGUGCAUUCGAAACUACCGGACUUGAAUACUGGAGAGGGUUGCGGAAUUCCCGGUGUAGAGGUGAAAUUCGUAGAUAUCGGGAGGAACACCAGUGGCGAAGGCGGCAACCUGGACAGAUAUUGACGCUGAGGUGCGAAAGCGUGGGGAGCAAACAGG
rnacentral:rRNA from 1 species